rnacentral:rRNA from 1 species
UACGUAGGGUGCGAGCGUUGUCCGGAAUUACUGGGCGUAAAGAGCUCGUAGGUGGUUUGUCGCGUCGUCUGUGAAAUUCCGGGGCUUAACUCCGGGCGUGCAGGCGAUACGGGCAUAACUUGAGUGCUGUAGGGGAGACUGGAAUUCCUGGUGUAGCGGUGAAAUGCGCAGAUAUCAGGAGGAACACCGAUGGCGAAGGCAGGUCUCUGGGCAGUUACUGACGCUGAGGAGCGAAAGCAUGGGUAGCGAACAGG